ACCUGUUGCAGGUAGGAGCGGCAGCAUCAGAUGCUGCCAGGCUGUAUUCUGGCUUAAACUCCAUAGCUGGAUCACAGGCAGUUUGCCUUUUGUGGCCAGUGUAGCUCCUGUUAGCAUCCUCCUGUCUGCCAGCCAGGGCCACUGUCCGUGGUGGUGCCUUCCAUGGUAGUGCUGCUGAUUCUUGGUGAGCCUCGCUGUAGAGUUUGAUCCUGCGUAGUUCCGUUGUCUGCCGGCAAGAUUGGAACGACGGGAGCUGGUCAGUCUGCUUGGGUGUUUCACUCCACGCACCUUGCUGACUCCAGGAAUCCUGCACUCCACGGGGUAACUUGCUUCACGCUGGGACGGAGCAUCAGAACUGGUCCACUGCGACAGAGACUCUCUUGCAGCUCACCCAGGGGAUUGAGUGCGACUCACCUGUACAGCGUUUGGAGCCUUUCUUUUGUAAU